rnacentral:rRNA from 1 species
UAUUUGAAGGGGGCUGCUCCUAGUACGAGAGGACCGGAGUGGACGAACCUCUGGUGUACCGGUUGUGACGCCAGUCGCAUCGCCGGGUAGCUAUGUUCGGAAGAGAUAACCGCUGAAAGCAUCUAAGCGGGAAACUCGCCUUAAGAUGAGAUAUCCCUGGAGGCUUGACCUCCUUGAAGGGUCGUUCGAGACCAGGACGUUGAUAGGUCGGGUGUGUAAGCGCAGUAAUGCGUUCAGCUAACCGAUACUAAUUGCCCGUAAGGCUUGAUCCUAUAACA